AGGAGAGGACGCACCCAAAAAUCUGAGACGACCCACAUGCGGGGUCUCUCUCCGUACGUUACCUGAAUGAGCAAGAGAGGGGAGUCGAGGACGGCGGAGGAGCCGGGGACGUCGAAGAGCAGCUCCUCCAGGCAGGGGAAGGGAGGCUGGAGGG